CCGCGUGUGUGAAGAANNNCUUCGGGUUGUAAAGCACUUUCAGCGAGGAAGAACGCCUAGUGGUUAAUACCCAUUAGGAAAGACAUCACUCGCAGAAGAAGCACCGGCUAACUCCGUGCCAGCAGCCGCGGUAAUACGGAGGGUGCAAGCGUUAAUCGGAAUUACUGGGCGUAAAGCGCGGCGUAGGUGGCUUGAUAAGCCGGUUGUGAAAGCCCCGGGCUCAACCUGGGAACGGCAUCCGGAACUGUCAAGCUAGAGUGCAGAGAGAGGAAGGUAGAAUUCCCGGUGUAGCGGUGAAAUGCGUAGAGAUCGGGAGGAAUACCAGUGGCGAAGGCGGCCUUCUGGACUGACACUGACACUGCAGGUGCGAAAGCGUGGGUAGCAAACAGGAUUAGAUACCCUGGUAGUCCACGCCGUAAACGAUGUCGACCAGCCGUUGGGUGCCUAUGCGCACUUUUGGCGAAGUUAACGCGAUAAGUCGACCG
rnacentral:rRNA from 1 species